UACGUAGGGUGCGAGCGUUAAUCGGAAUUACUGGGCGUAAAGGGUGCGCAGGCGGUCUCGUAAGCUGGGUGUGAAAGCCCCGGGCUUAACCUGGGAAUGGCAUUCAGGACUGCGAGGCUUUGAGUGCGGCAGAGGGAGGUGGAAUUCCACGUGUAGCAGUGAAAUGCGUAGAUAUCAGGAGGAACACCUGUGGCGAAAGCGGCUCACUGGACCAUAACUGACGCUGAUGCACGAAAGCUAGGGGAGCAAACAGG
rnacentral:rRNA from 1 species